UACAGAGGGUGCGAGCGUUAAUCGGAAUUACUGGGCGUAAAGCGUGCGUAGACGGUCAUGUAAGUCGGAUGUGAAAGCCCCGGGCUCAACCUGGGAAUUGCAUUCGAGACUGCAUGGCUUGGGUGCGGAAGAGGGAAGCGGAAUUUCCGGUGUAGCGGUGAAAUGCGUAGAUAUCGGAAGGAACACCAGUGGCGAAAGCGGCUUCCUGGUCCGACACCGACGUUCAGGCACGAAAGCGUGGGGAGCAAACAGGAUUAGA
rnacentral:rRNA from 1 species